rnacentral:tRNA from 1 species
GCAAUGGUGAUUCAGUGCUAGAAUUUCCACCUUUUGUGCAGGAUAUCUGGGCUCAAUUCCCAGCCAGUGUA